GGAAGAAAGCAGACAGAGAGGAAAGAGACCGUAGUAGCCCAAAGCGCUGCCCACAGAAUAGAAGCCAUAGUGGGCAGCAGGAGGAAAGUGGCCACCUAAAAUGAGAUGUGAGAGCGCUACAAGUCUGAGGUGAGCAGGAUUAUGUACUAAUUGAAGUAGAUCUAUCUGCCUCAAAGCCAACGAGGACUCUGCAAACAGACUGAGAAAGCUUUUGUAUCAGUUUCAUAUUCAGCAGGGUGUGGGUGCACAGAAGGAUGCACGUUACCUGCUUGGUUUCCAGUUUCUAGAAAACGGGGCAACACGUUGGGUAUUGUGUCACCACAAAGUGAGGGGUAGGAGAGAAAGGCGAGGAACACUGCAGAGACGUGACCCUUCAUGGUGAAGGACCU
ensembl:lncRNA